UUCCGGUUGAUCCUGCCGGAGGACAUUGCUAUUGGGAUUCGAUUUAGCCAUGCUAGUCGAACGAGUUCACACUCGUGGCACAUAGCUCAGUAACACGUGGCCAAGCUACCCUUCAGUCGGCAAUACCCUCGGGAAACUGAGGCUAAUAGCCGAUACGAAACAGACGCUGGAAUGCACUGUAUUCCAAAGACACCGCUGAAGGAUGCGGCUGCGGCCGAUUAGGUAGACGGUGGGGUAACGGCCCACCGUGCCAGUAAUCGGUACGGGUGAUGAGAGUCAGAGCCCGGAGACGGAAUCUGAGACAAGAUUCCGGGCCCUACGGGGCGCAGCAGGCGCGAAACCUUUACACUGCACGAAAGUGCGAUAGGGGAAUCCCAAGUGCGAGGGCAUAUUAGCCCUCGCUUUUGUUGACUCUAAGGUGGUCAACGAAUAAGAGCUGGGCAAGACCGGUGCCAGCCGCCGCGGUAAUACCGGCAGCUCGAGUGAUGUCCCAUAUUAUUGGGCCUAAAGCGUCCGUAGCUGGCCAACCAAGUCCAUCGGGAAAUCCACCCGCCCAACGGGUGGGCGUCCGGUGGAAACUGGCUGGCUUGGAACCGGAAGGCUCAGAGAGUACGUCCGGGGUAGGAGUGAAAUCCCGUAAUCCCGGACGGACUACCGAUGGCGAAAGCACUCUGAGAAGACGGCUUCGACAGUGAGGGACGAAAGCUAGGGUCUCAAACCGGAUUAGAUACCCCGGUAGUC
rnacentral:rRNA from 1 species